rnacentral:rRNA from 1 species
GGCGGCGUGCUUAACACAUGCAAGUCGAGCGGUAAGGCCCUUCGGGGUACACGAGCGGCGAACGGGUGAGUAACACGUGGGUGAUCUGCCUCGCACUUCGGGAUAAGCCUGGGAAACUGGGUCUAAUACCGGAUAUGACCACUGGUCGCAUGGUUGGUGGUGGAAAGAUUUAUCGGUGCGAGAUGGGCCCGCGGCCUAUCAGCUUGUUGGUGGGGUAAUGGCCUACCAAGGCGACGACAGGUAGCCGGCCUAAGAGGGCGACCGGCCACACUGGGACUGAGACACGGCCCAGACUCCUACGGGAGGCAGCAGUGGGGAAUAUUGCACAAUGGGCGAAAGCCUGAUGCAGCGACGCCGCSUGAGGGAUGACGGCCUUCGGGUUGUAAACCUCUUUCGACAGGGACGAAGCGUAAGUGACGGUACCUGUAGAAGAAGCACCGGCCAACUACGUGCCAGCAGCCGCGGUAAUACGUAGGGUGCGAGCGUUGUCCGGAAUUACUGGGCGUAAAGAGCUUGUAGGCGGUUUGUCGCGUCGUCUGUGAAAACUCACAGCUCAACUGUGAGCUUGCAGGCGAUACGGGCAGACUUGAGUACUGCAGGGGAGACUGGAAUUCCUGGUGUAGCGGUGAAAUGCGCAGAUAUCAGGAGGAACACCGGUGGCGAAGGCGGGUCUCUGGGCAGUAACUGACGCUGAGAAGCGAAAGCGUGGGUAGCGAACAGGAUUAGAUACCCUGGUAGUCCACGCCGUAAACGGUGGGCGCUAGGUGUGGGUUUCCUUCCACGGGAUCCGUGCCGUAGCUAACGCAUUAAGCGCCCCGCCUGGGGAGUACGGCCGC